rnacentral:rRNA from 1 species
CCUACGGGACGCAGCAGUGGGGAAUAUUGCACAAUGGGCGCAAGCCUGAUGCAGCCAUGCCGCGUGUAUGAAGAAGGCCUUCGGGUUGUAAAGUACUUUCAGCGGGGAGGAAGGUGUUGUGGUUAAUAACCGCAGCAAUUGACGUUACCCGCAGAAGAAGCACCGGCUAACUCCGUGCCAGCAGCCGCGGUAAUACGGAGGGUGCAAGCGUUAAUCGGAAUUACCGGGCGUAAAGCGCACGCAGGCGGUCUGUCAAGUCGGAUGUGAAAUCCCCGGGCUCAACCUGGGAACUGCAUUUGAAACUGGCAAGCUAGAGUCUCGUAGAGGGGGGUAGAAUUCCAGGUGUAGCGGUGAAAUGCGUAGAGAUCUGGAGGAAUACCGGUGGCGAAGGCGGCCCCCUGGACGAAGACUGACGCUCAGGUGCGAAAGCGUGGGGAGCAAACAGGAUUAGAUACCCUCGUAGUC